rnacentral:snRNA from 1 species
UUUCUCUUCAGAUUGCAUAAAUCUUUCACCUUUUACUAAAAAUUUCCGUGGAGAAGAA